rnacentral:sRNA from 1 species
UACAAAUUAAAAAAUAUACAUACAGAUAACGAACAAUCCGAAAAAUAAAACUAGGAAAACGUGAUUUUUCCGGAAUUUUAGCUCUAAAAAAGAAAACUAAACAUACAACCAAAACCAAUAAAUAGACUAAAAACCGUAUUGGAUUGAAAGCCAAAGUCUGAGACAUAAAACUAAGAAAAAUUCUGAUACCAAACAUUAGUGACGCCUGCAAAAUUCCAAACUUCUAAAAAUCUAAAGAAAACAACAAAUCGAAAAAAUCUAAAGAAAGCCAACACAACAUAACAAAUUUCUCCUAUGAUGAAUAGAGA